rnacentral:lncRNA from 1 species
AUCUUUUUUUGUGUAUACUGCAAUUAGUGCUUUCCUAGAAUCAACGUGAAUGACAUGCAAGUAUAAUAAACAAAAACAUAAGCUUUUAAAAUAAGUGUAGAAACAAUAGAGGCGAUUUAUGACAUCAAUAAGAUGAAAAUAGGGAAUAAAAUCCUAUGAAUUCCCCAAGAAUGUGGAUGACAAUAAGAUCUAGUUUCCAUUUGACUGAUGGAUUUAUAACAAGUGCUAGGUAUACUUCCUCUUUAGUUCUCAUUAAUGGCGUUUGCAUGUUGGUUCCUAUGACUAUCACAAGGGAUUCUAACAUAAACCCUUCCCUGAACAUGCUGGAAGGCAUCCCAAACUUUGCUUCGUCCCAGUCUAUGUCCAGAUUAUAUUAAAAAAAAAAAAAAAAAAAACAUUUACGAAGGGCGAUAUUACUUCUCUCUAGACAGAUAUCACGCUUAUGUUAAAGGAUAUAGUUUUAAAAGGUUAUGUAAAUCCAAUAUAUAGUUUCAAAGUUAUGUAAUUCCAAUAUAUUCUUCAUUUCCGCUGAGGUUCCUGUUAAACAAAGAUACUCCUAUAUCUUUUUUAACAAUAUAUAUUUGCUUUCGUCAUUC